UUCAGGGUUGUUAGUCAAUUCGUUUUUAGUAUUCAAUAGGAUUCAGUUCGUGUAGGUUUCACUAGUUGUACAAAAAAACACAGAUUCAAAAAAGGCAUACAUUUUUUUUUUUUUUUUUUUCUACGGCUUUUACACAUCCCGGUUAAUAUAAUGUAUGCUAACCCCUUUUACACGCAAAAUUUUUUCGGAAUUCAUCAAAACCAAAUUUAUCUACAUCCAAAUUAUUUAAACAGUUCGGCUAGUGCUUUCGGUUCUUUUGGCGACAUAUAUAGGUUCGAGGAUGGCAGCAGAGAUGCGCGUGGUCCAUUGUUAUUGGGCAGAAGCAGCUACUGUGGAUUCGGCAGAGUUCAAUCUCAAGGGCUAGACCAGAACGAAACUGCGUUGGUGGACAUCGUGACGUGGGUAGACGCCACAGUGUGUCCACAAUGGCAACGGCCACAACCAUGGCGGCAUCUUCAACCAUGAUAUUGGGCUCGAGGUCAAGUCAUUUUGGGUUAGCCGAAAUGAACAGAAAUGUGGUUCAGCCAUCGAUGGAUAUUGGUGAACAGCGACAACGACAAUAUCAUCGACAACAGACUGGCAUAUCCAUGGGCUUCAGUAUGUUAUUGGCCAGGAGUUUGACAGAGGAACCGACAAGUAUGAAUCCAAAUAUAUAACCGUCCGUUGAUGGUGUCCCGUUCAUUAUGCUCGGCGAGCAAUUCGAACUGGAACCAGAGACGAUCUUUUUGCUGGGCAUGCGUCUGAGUGUGACGAAAAAUGAUAUUCUCAUGUUCUUUAGUUCCGUGGGAAUGUUCGCUGUUGACCAUGCGAGUAAACCAAGGAUUUGUGUGUACAAAAAUAAGCAAAAUGGACGAUCAAAGGGUGAGGCGACCAUUACAUAUAUAAGUCCGUUCAUGGCGGAAAUGGCCAUUAGAUGCCUCAAUGGCAGCAAAUUUUUAGGGGAGAAACUAUAACGGUUUUACCGGCAUAUCUAUCAACCCGCAAGGGUCGUGGCAUCCGCUGUAGAUAUCCUCGAGAGUUCGCUCCAUCGAACAAUCGGGAACACCAAUAGGAUCGGCAGCAGCAGAAUCGUCAACGUCGACCCCGUAAAUGGAGACCGGCUCGGGACAAUUGGUAUUGCAUGUCCUGACGCAACAGCAAUUUUGUUUGGCGCUCCAAAUACAAUCGUUGCAAGACCAGCAAAUCGGAGUAUGCAGCCGAACCCAUGUGGCUCAAAAACAGAAUAAAUGUAUAAAGAGAGUAUUACCUCUCAAGUCAACUAUUACUGAAGGUCCAUUGGUUAGCUGUCCUAGCACUCCUAGCAGUGUUACUCCUAGAAAGCCUGUAGGUCGUAAAAACCAUUCAGAAUAUCAAGUCUCAGAGAUGGAUCUUGAGUUCAAAUCAAAUAUGUAUUUGACCCCAUAAAAGUGUCAACAGUUGGCUGAGAAAUUGCAGCUAACUGAUCGUCAGCUCAAGGCCUGGUUUUCAAACCGUCGUACAAAGGUUAGAAAACUUUCCAUGGCUCAGGAAGGACCCAUAAAAUAGGAUGCGUUUCAAAUCUCCGACAACGCCCGUGGCUAAAAAUGGCCGAGCAUAUAAGAUGCAGGUCAGAAAUCAGUUGGGGCCAUUUGAGGUUAGAUCGGCAAUGGUGGCUAAGUUUCACGCCGGAAAAAAAAUAGUGGACAUUGCCAAAGCGUACCAGGUGUCUCGACAAACGGUGCACUACCAAAUAAAUAAGGACAAAAAGUAUAACUCGUUGAAAAAUUUAAAAAGAACAGGCGCAAAACGGAAAACUACCGUGACUGAUGACCGAGUCCUACUACGGGAAUUUAAAAAAAACGUAUUGCUGAAGCCUCAAAAAGCAGCCGAUUUGCUGAAUUUGACAGCAUAUGAGUCAAUCAGCGAGAGGACAGUCAGACGGCGCUUGAAAGAAGGAGAGUUCGGAACAUAUGUAGCCAAGGACGUGCCUUUCAUUUCAAAGGUUAACAAGUUAAAAAGGUUAGCAUUUGCAAAGGAGCAUAUAAACAAACCAAAGGAGUUCUGGAGAAGUGUUUUGUGGACAGAUGAAAGCUCCUUUGAGUAUAAUUCUUCAAAAAAAAAGUAUUUGUAAAGCUGCCCAUCGAGCAAAGACAAAAGAGACGGCCCGUUUGUCAAAAAGUGAGCCAUGGUGGAGGCUCUGUGUUCUGGGGAUGUGUGGCAUAUAAUGGACUGGGGGAUUUCAUUCCCAUCUCAAGGCCAAUACCUGACCACCCUCAAUGAAAAUGCCUUUCCUUCCGGAGAUCGGCUCAUCGGGCUGUCGUUUAUUCUCCAGCAGGACAACGGCCCAUGCCAUAAAGCCCAGAUGAUAACCAACUUUUUGAAGGAUCUGGAUGUUCCAACGCUAAACUGACCCCCCCAAAGUCCAGAUCUAAAUAUUAUAGAAAACGUCUGGUCUCUUUUGAAGCGCAAGAGAACAGAAGCGUUAAACAAAUCCAGAGAAGAAACGAUUUCUGAGCUCUCUUCCUUAUGGAAAGAGAUGUCUCCAGAAAUCCUUCAAAAUUUAGUGGAUCCUGUGCCGCGACGCCUCGCAAAACUUUUUCUUCGUCAAAAUAUUUAUGCCGCCUAGUGUAUUGUAAUCAAGCAGAAAUUUGUACUUUAAAUUUAUAGUUUACACAAAAAAACUGAAUACAACAACAACACGACAACAAAAUAUACAAUUUUUAUAAAAUAAAACUAGCAAACCCGGCGAACUUCGUAACGCCUAGCAGUCAAA